rnacentral:tRNA from 1 species
GUUCUCGUAGCUCAGCUGGAUAGAGCAACGCCCUUCUAAGGCGUCGGUCACACGUUCGAAUCGUGCCGAGAACACCA